rnacentral:tRNA from 1 species
UUGAAAGUAAGGCUUAAUCGAACAGACUUUUAAUCUUUUGGUCGAAGGUUCGAAUCCUUCACGGCCCACCA